GUCCACGCCGUAACGAUGAAUACUAGGUGUCGGGCCGUAUAGGCUUCGGUGCCGUCGCAACGCAGUAAGUAUUCCACCUGGGAGUACGUUCGCAAGAAUGAACUCAAAGGAAUUGACGGGACCCGCACAAGCGGUGGAGCAUGUGGUUUAAUUCGAAGCAACGCGAAGAACCUUACCAGGUCUUGACAUCCUUCUGACCACUCCGUAAAUGGGAGUCUUCCUUCGGGACAGAAGAGACAGGUGGUGCAUGGUUGUCGU
rnacentral:rRNA from 1 species